GCACUGCUGAGGAGUCCCACGUUGGGACGAAACGGUCGUCUAGUGC
rnacentral:hammerhead_ribozyme from 1 species